AUACGGAGGAUCCGAGCGUUAUCCGGAUUUAUUGGGUUUAAAGGGUGCGCAGGCGGCCAUUUAAGUCAGCGGUUAAAUCGUGGGGCUCAACCCCAUUCUGCCGUUGAUACUGGGUGGCUUGAUUGCGGUCGAGGUUGGCGGAAUUCGUUGUGUAGCGGUUGAAUGCAUAGAUAUGACGAAGAACACCGAUUGCGUAGGCAGCUGACCAGAUCGCAAAUGACGCUCAUGCACGAAAGUGCGGGGAUCGAACAGGAUUAGAUACCCUGGUAGUCCGCACAGUAAACGAUGAAUACUUGUUUUCGGCGAUAUAAUGUCGGAGGCAAAGCGAAAGCGAUAAGUAUUCCACCUGGGGAGUACGCCGGCAACGGUGAAACUCAAAGGAAUUGACGGGG
rnacentral:rRNA from 1 species